rnacentral:rRNA from 1 species
GAUGGGGCUGCGGCGGAUUAGGUAGUUGGUGGGGUAACGGCCCACCCAGCCUACGAUCCGUACGGGCCCUGAGAGGGGGAGCCCGGAGAUGGACACUGAGACACGGGUCCAGGCCCUACGGGGCGCAGCAGGCGCGAAACCUCCGCAAUGCGCGAAAGCGCGACGGGGGGACCCCGAGUGCCCACGCUCUGCGUGGGCUUUUCCGGAGUGUAAACAGCUCCGGGAAUAAGGGCUGGGCAAGUCCGGUGCCAGCAGCCGCG